rnacentral:rRNA from 1 species
GAUGAACGCUAGCUACAGGCUUAACACAUGCAAGUCGAGGGGAAACGGCAUCGAAAGCUUGCUUUUGAUGGGCGUCGACCGGCGCACGGGUGAGUAACGCGUAUCCAACCUGCCCAUCACUUGGGAAUAACCUUGCGAAAGUAAGACUAAUGCCCAAUGACAUCCCACGAAGGCAUCCGAAUGGGAUUAAAGAUUUAUCGGUGAUGGAUGGGGAUGCGCCUGAUUAGCUUGUUGGCGGGGUGACGGCCCACCAAGGCAACGAUCAGUAGGGGUUCUGAGAGGAAGGUCCCCCACAUUGGAACUGAGACACGGUCCAAACUCCUACGGGAGGCAGCAGUGAGGAAUAUUGGUCAAUGGGCGAGAGCCUGAACCAGCCAAGUAGCGUGCAGGAUGACGGCCCUAUGGGUUGUAAACUGCUUUUAUAAGGGAAUAAAGUGGGUCACGUGUGACUUUUUGCAUGUACCUUAUGAAUAAGGACCGGCUAAUUCCGUG